GGGGCUAUAGCUCAGCUGGGAGAGCGCUUGCAUGGCAUGCAAGAGGUCGACGGUUCUAUCCCGUCUAGCUCCACCA
rnacentral:tRNA from 1 species